rnacentral:rRNA from 1 species
UACGUAGGGGGCUAGCGUUGUCCGGAAUCAUUGGGCGUAAAGCGCGCGUAGGCGGCCCGGUAAGUCCGCUGUAAAAGUCAAAGGCUCAACCUUUGAAUGUCAGUGGAUACUGCCGGGCUAGAGUCCGGAAGAGGCGAGUGGAACUCCUGGUGUAGCGGUGGAAUGCGCAGAUAUCAGGAAGAACACCGACGGCGAAGGCAGCUCGCUGGGACGGUACUGACACUGAGGCGCGAAAGCGUGGGGAGCGAACAGG